GAAUAUUGGACAAUGUGCGCAAGCCUGAUCCAGCCAUGCCGCGUGUGUGAAUAAGGCCUUUUGGUUGUCAAGCACCUUAAGCGAGGAGGAGGCUCCUUGGAUUAAUACUCUAGGAUAGCUGACGUUACUCGCCGAAUACGCACCGGCUAACCCUGCGCCCGCAGCCGCGGUAAUACAGAGGGUGCUAGCGUUAAUCGGAUUUACUGGGCGUAAAGGGUGCGUAGGCGGCUUUUUAAGUCGGAUGUGAAAUCCCUGAGCUUAACUUAGGAAUUGCAUUCGAUACUGGGAAGCUAGAGUAUGGGAGAGGAUGGUAGAAUUCCAGGUGUAGCGGUGAAAUGCGUAGAGAUCUGGAGGAAUACCGAUGGCGAAGGCAGCCAUCUGGCCUAAUACUGACGCUGAGGUACGAAAGCAUGGGGAGCAAAC
rnacentral:rRNA from 1 species